UGGUGGAGUGAUUUGUCUGGUUAAUUCCGUUAACGAACGAGACCUUAGCCUACUAACUAGUCGCGGUUAAUUUCGAUUACCGCCGACUUCUUAGAGGGACUUUGUGGUUCAACUACAAGGAAGUUUGAGGCAAUAACA
rnacentral:rRNA from 1 species